rnacentral:rRNA from 1 species
AUACGUAGGGAGCGAGCGUUGUCCGGAAUUACUGGGUGUAAAGGGUGCGUAGGCGGGACUGCAAGUCAGAUGUGAAAUGCCGGGGCUCAACCCCGGAGCUGCAUUUGAAAUUGUGGUUCUUGAGUGAGGUAGAGGUAAGCGGAAUUCCUAGCGUAGCGGUGAAAUGCGUAGAUAUUAUGAGGAACAUCGGUGGCGAAGGCGGCUUACUGGGCCGUUACUGACGCUGAGGCACGAAAGCGUGGGGAGCAAACAGGAUUAGAUACCCUGGUAGUCCACGCUGUAAACGAUGAUGACUAGGUGUGGGGGGACUGAACCCUUCCGUGCCGCAGUUAACACAAUAAGUCAUCCACCUGGGGAGUACGGCCGCAAGGUUGAAACUCAAAUGAAUUGAC